UAGCUUAGUCGGUAAAGAAUUUGCCUGCAAUGUAAGAGACCCGGGUUCGAUCCCUGG
rnacentral:tRNA from 1 species